GGGGAUGCAGAGUCAGUCUCUGGGAGAGCAGGCUGCGCCAAGGAGCCCUCUUGCGUCUGUCUCCCCUCGUUCUGAGACCCACCCGCUCUAACCCUCUGAGAGGUCCUCUAGGACCUGGAAGAGCAGGGACGUCGAAGGAAGAGAGUCGCUGCCCCUCAGCCUGCCGGCCACCCUCUCAGCCUGGUGUGCUCUGCCUUGGGUGUGGCUUUGGGCUCAGCCCCACCUCACACAGCCUCGGUCCCAGGAGGACAGGAAGGAGGCAGCUGGCAGGUGGAUGGCCGCGGAUGCUGAGCCCUCAGGAUAAAAAUACUCCGCUCAUUAAUCAGAUGGCCGGUUCCAGCCUGGCAGGGGCACACAGGAAUGAGAGCCCGCGGUCCUGGUCUCUUGCCCUGAAAUACUCCAAGCCCUGGAAGAGUCCCUCUCCCCUCUGAGCCCGAGGUCAGCUUGGGGGUGAGGAGAAUCUUCCCACAAGGAGAAGCUGGGGAAGGCGCUCUGCAGCCUCUUCCGGCCACAAGAAUGUUCCAGCCAGAAUAGCCUGCUUGACCCAACAGGGGCAGGUGGGGAGCAAGGGAGCCGAGGAAGAGCGAGGUCGGAG